AACGAACGCUGGCGGCAUGCCUAACACAUGCAAGUCGAACGAGACCUUCGGGUCUAGUGGCGCACGGGUGCGUAACGCGUGGGAACCUGCCCUUAGGUUCGGCAUAACUCCCCGAAAGGGGUGCUAAUACCGGAUAAUGUCUUCGGACCAAAGAUUUAUCGCCUUUGGGUGGGCCCGCGUUGGAUUAGCUAGUUGGUAGGGUAAAAGACUACCAAGGCGACGAUCCAUAGCUGGUCUGAGUGGAUGAUCAGCCACACUGGGACUGAGACACGGCCCAGACUCCUACGGGAGGCAGCAGUGGGUAAUAUUGGACAAUGGGCGAAAGCCUGAUCCAGCAAUGCCGCGUGAGUGAUGAAGGCCUUAGGGUUGUAAAGCUCUUUUACCCGGGAUGAUAAUGACAGUACCGGGAGAAUAAGCUCCGGCUAACUCCGUG
rnacentral:rRNA from 1 species